rnacentral:rRNA from 1 species
UGGGGAAUAUUGGACAAUGGGCGCAAGCCUGAUCCAGCCAUGCCGCGUGAAUGAUGAAGGCCUUCGGGUUGUAAAGUUCUUUUAGUGGAGAAAAUAAUGAUGGUAUCCACAGAAAAAGCCCCGGCUAACUUCGUGCCAGCAGCCGCGGUAAUACGAAGGGGGCUAGCGUUGUUCGGAAUUACUGGGCGUAAAGGGUUUGUAGGCGGUUGAACAAGUCAGAUGUGAAAGCCCAGGGCUUAACCCUGGAAUUGCAUUUGAAACUGUUCAGCUAGAGAGUGUUAGAGGAAAGUGGAAUUCCUAGUGUAGGAGUGAAAUCCGUAGAGAUUAGGAGGAAUAUCGAUGGCGAAGGCAGCUUUCUGGGACAUUUCUGACGCUGAGAAACGAAAGCGUGGGUAGCAAACAGGAUUAGAUACCCGGGUAGUCC